UACAGAGGUCUCAAGCGUUGUUCGGAUUCAUUGGGCGUAAAGGGCGCGUAGGCGGCGGGGUAAGUCGGGUGUGAAAUCUCAGAGCUCAACUCUGAAAUGGCACUUGAUACUGCUCUGCUAGAGGAGUGGAGAGGAGAUUGGAAUUCACGGUGUAGCAGUGAAAUGCGUAGAUAUCGUGAGGAAGACCGGUGGCGAAGGCGGCUCUCUGGGACGGUACUGACGCUGAGACGCGAAAGCGUGGGGAGCAAACAGG
rnacentral:rRNA from 1 species